UACGGGGGGGGCAAGCGUUGUUCGGAAUUACUGGGCGUAAAGGGCUCGUAGGCGGCCAACUAAGUCAGACGUGAAAUCCCUCGGCCUAACCGGGGAACUGCAUCUGAUACUGGAUGGCUUGAGUUCGGGAGAGGGAUGCGGAAUUCCAGGUGUAGCGGUGAAAUGCGUAGAUAUCUGGAGGAACACCGGUGGCGAAGGCGGCAUCCUGGACCGACACUGACGCUGAGGAGCGAAAGCCAGGGGAGCAAACGGG
rnacentral:rRNA from 1 species